GACGAGCGAUGAACAGUGCCAGUCACGGACAGAUGCCCACUGCCGUGGAAUUGCCCCAUCCUGUUUUACAGAGAGCAGAAACUGGAAGUUACAGAGAAAGCUGAAAUAACUUGGCCCGAAGUCACUCAGCUAAGAAGUGGCUGUGUCCAAGCUCACAUUCCGGGCUAUGCUGCGUCUCUAGACUGCGGCUUGAAGCUGUAUUUGUAAAGAUGGGGGAUAGAUGCUUGCAUGUGCUCAUAGGAUUCCAAGAAGAUGUGCAGUGGGAGCAUUUACAAACGAGUCUGUCUGUCUUCACCACCAACAUGUAGGCCAGCUUUCUCUGCCCCUCUGAGAAGUCUGCAAAAGGUCACAGCUGCAUGGCUCCAGAAGCUAUUUGUCUUUAAAUCAAGGGACCAGCAAAUACGGAUUAGUGAUCUGACCUCUCCAAUCCCAGUUCCUGGGAGACAAGAAGAGAGGUCAAGAGGGCAUCCUCCAAUCAGCUACAUCCAGGGGACUGGGGACAUGGGACUGCCAGGGUCACACUGGGAAAACAUCAUACAUGCUGUCUCAAGUCAAAUGGUUUGUCCUCCAUGAAGACCCCUGACCAGUCCUAUGGAAGAAGUCUCCUUUCUCCUGUGUUCCCAUAGCAUAUUCUCUGCCCUCUUCUAUCACACUUAUCGCUCUCUCCCUUGUAUUAGUUUUGCUUUUAUAAGCAUCUUCUCCCCCAGCCCAUGUAUCUAUAAGCUUCUUGUUUCUCUUCCUAUAUCUCACAGCUUGGGCCAAAUAAUUGGGUGUGCACUCAAUACAUAUUUGAAGUCACAAUCUUUCCCCAAUAAAUACAUUUUCAAGAAACUCA
rnacentral:lncRNA from 1 species